GUUGUCUUUCAUUCCUCUGAGCUGAAGAUAUGGGAAGAUUAGACGGGAAAAUAGCUGUGCUCACAGCAGCAGGGCAGGGAAUAGGUAGAGCCACAGCUUUGGCUUUUGCUAGAGAGGGCGCAAAAGUAAUUGCAACAGACAUUAAUGCAGAUUUGUUAAAGAAAUUAGCAGAAGACUGUCCAGGAAUUGAAACUAGAGUUCUUGAUGUGACAAAAACAGAAGAUGUCAAAGCUUUUGCUGCCACUGUGGAGAAGAUAGACAUUCUGUUUAAUGUCGCUGGGUAUGUUCAUCAUGGAACAAUACUUGAGACUGAUGAAAAAGCCUGGGACUUCUCCUUUGAUUUGAAUGUCAAAAGCAUGUGGAGAAUGUGUACCCAGUUUCUUCCAAAGAUGAAGCAGCAGAAGUCUGGAGCCAUUCUCAACAUGUCAUCUGUGGCCUCUAGUAUACAUGGUGCCCCUAAUCGGUGUGUGUAUGGGUCGACUAAGGCUGCUGUAAUUGGUCUGAGUAGAGGUAUAGCUGCUGACUUUGUGGGGGACAACAUCAGGUGUAAUUCUAUUUGUCCAGGUACAAUUGACACUCCUUCCCUACAAGGUCGCAUAGAAGGACAGCCAGAUCCCCAAAAGAAGUAAUUCAGUGGUUUUGUGGAUUUUUUAUUUCUUAAGGCAAGAAAGGACUUUGAAGCAAGACAGAAAACGGGCCGGUUUGGGACCCCAGAGGAAGUGGCUAACCUGGCGGUAUAUCUAGCAUCGGAUGAGGCUGUAUAUGUAACAGGAAAAGAGUAUGUCAUUGAUGGUGGAUGGAGUAUUUAGAUGACGAUGGCCAAACCCAAAUAUCCAUGCAUAUAAAGCAGAAAUCCUCAUUACUUGUACAUGUACCAAUACAUGUAGAAUUUAUCUCUAAAGUCUUAGGAUUAACAAUGAUUAUUUUGCACUGUGAUUGAUAUAAUGAACAAAAUUUGCCGUGGGUUAGAUUGAUGCAUGUAAUACAUGUUCUAUAAUCAACAAUUUACCUCAAUAUUAUCAUUAUGGUUGUAUAUGUAAUCAGGAAUAGUAUUAUUACAAAAAUGGUUGUUUUCCUUUGCAUUAAUAUUACAUUUCAUAUUCAAGGAAGUCUUCAGUGGCAAACAUAUUUAUAUUUUUGCCUUUAACAUUAUUAUAUUAUGCAGUUUAUUUUCAAUGAACAAAUUGUUAUUUAAUUAUUAGAAUUAUACACAUAUAUAGUUUUAUCUAUUUACAGUACUUUUAUGUACGUAGCUUAUUUUACAAAUGAUGCACUUUGGGUAAAAUUAUCAAUAAAUCAAUAUUUUUGGAUCGAUUCAUGUUCUUAAUCAAUUUUUUUUGUUCAAAACAUUGAAAUGUGGAUAUUAGGAAAAUACAUUAUUAUUAU
rnacentral:misc_RNA from 1 species